rnacentral:rRNA from 1 species
GAUGAACGCUGGCGGCGUGCCUAAUACAUGCAAGUCGAGCGAACAGACGAGUAGCUUGCUCCUCUGACGUUAGCGGCGGACGGGUGAGUAACACGUGGAUAACCUACCUAUAAGACUGGGAUAACUUCGGGAAACCGGAGCUAAUACCGGAUAAUAUAUUGAACCGCAUGGUUCAAUAGUGAAAGAGGGUUUUGCUGUCACUUAUAGAUGGAUCCGCGCCGCAUUAGCUAGUUGGUACGGUAACGGCUUACCAAGGCGACGAUGCGUAGCCGACCUGAGAGGGGGAACGGCCACACUGGAGCUGAGACACGGUCCAGACUCCUACGGGAGGCAGCAGUAGGGAAUCUUCCGCGAUGGGCGAAAGCCUGACGGAGCAACGCCGCGUGAGUGAUGAAGGUCUUCGGAUCGUAAAACUCUGUUAUUAGGGAAGAACAAAUGUGUAAGUAACUAUGCACGUCUUGACGGUACCUAAUCAGAAAGCAACGGCUAACUACGUG